UGGUAGUGUAUUGGACUACCAUGGCGAUCACGGGUAACGGGGAAUUAGGGUUCGAUUCCGGAGAGGGAGCCUGAGAAAUGGCUACCACAUCUAAGGAAGGCAGCAGGCGCGUAAAUUACCCAAUCCUAAUUCAGGGAGGUAGUGACAAGAAAUAACAACUCGGACCUCACUCGAGGUUACGAGAUUGCAAUGAGAACAAUUUAAACCUCUUAUCGAGUAACAAUUGGAGGGCAAGUCUGGUGCCAGCAGCCGCGGUAAUUCCAGCUCCAAUAGCGUAUAUUAAAGUUGUUGCAGUUAAAAAGCUCGUAGUUGAAUAUCUGGCCGGUGCUGUUCUUGGCUCCCUGAGUCGGCUCAGCGCCUGGUCAUCCGUAUGGGAAACUAGCUCGACCUUCACUGGUCGGCUAGUGGAUCAUACACUUUACUUUGAAAAAAUUAGAGUGUUUCAGGCAGGCAAUUGCUUGGAUACUGUAGCAUGGAAUAAUGGAAUAGGACUUUGACCUAUUUGUUGGUUUCUCGAGGUCAAAGUAAUGAUUAAUAGGGACAGUUGGGGGCAUUCGUAUUUAAUUGUCAGAGGUGAAAUUCUUGGAUUUUUUAAAGACGAACUUAUGCGAAAGCAUUUGCCAAGGAUGUUUUCAUUAAUCAAGAACGAAAGUUAGGGGAUCAAAGACGAUCAGA
rnacentral:rRNA from 1 species